rnacentral:tRNA from 1 species
GUCUAAAUAGCUUAUAAAGAGCAUAAUAUUGAAGAUAUUAAGGAAAUUAAAGAUUUUUAGAUA